GAUGAACGCUGGCGGCGUGCCUAAUACAUGCAAGUCGAGCGAACAGACGAGGAGCUUGCUCCUCUGACGUUAGCGGCGGACGGGUGAGUAACACGUGGAUAACCUACCUAUAAGACUGGGAUAACUUCGGGAAACCGGAGCUAAUACCGGAUAAUAUAUUGAACCGCAUGGUUCAAUAGUGAAAGACGGUUUUGCUGUCACUUAUAGAUGGAUCCGCGCCGCAUUAGCUAGUUGGUAAGGUAACGGCUUACCACGGCAACGAUGCGUAGCCGACCUGAGAGGGGGAUCGGCGACCCUGGAACUGAGACAGGGUCCAGACUCCUACGGGAGGCAGCAGUAGGGAAUCGGCCGCAAUGGGCGAAAGCCUGACGGAGCAACGCCGCGUGAGUGAUGAAGGUCUUGGGAGCGUAAAACUCUGUUAUUAGGGAAGAACAAAUGUGUAAGUAACUAUGCACGUCUUGACGGUAACUAAUCAGAAAGCCACGGCUAACUACGUG
rnacentral:rRNA from 1 species